rnacentral:rRNA from 1 species
CAAGGAAUUUUCGGCAAUGGGGGCAACCCUGACCGAGCAACGCCGCGUGGAGGAUGAAGGUUUUCGGAUUGUAAACUCCUUUUUGGUGGGAAGACAAGAAAAAGGACGGUACCACCAGAAUAAGCCCCGGCUAACUACGUGCCAGCAGCCGCGGUAAUACGUAGGGGGCAAGCGUUGUCCGGAUUUAUUGGGCGUAAAGGGCGCGCAGGCGGCGCUUCAAGUCCGUUGUGAAAUUUCAGGGCUUAACCCUGACGGGUCAACGGAAACUGAAGGGCUAGAGUGCAGCAGAGGAAAGCGGAAUUCCCGGUGUAGUGGUGAAAUGCGUAGAUAUCGGGAGGAACACCAGAGGCGAAAGCGGCUUUCUGGGCUGUAACUGACGCUGAGGCGCGAAGGCUAGGGGAGCAAAC